GACGUAGGGUGCAAGCGUUGUCCGGAUUUACUGGGCGUAAAGAGCGCGUAGGCGGCUCGUUAAGUGUGAAGUGAAAUCUCUAGGGCUCAACCCAGAAACUGCUUUACAUACUGGCGAGCUGGAGUGAUGCAGAGGUUUGUGGAAUUCCUGGUGUAGCGGUGAAAUGCGUUGAUAUCAGGAGGAACACCGAUGGCGAAGGCAGCAAACUGGGCAUCAACUGACGCUGAGGCGCGAAAGCUAGGGGAGCAAACAGG
rnacentral:rRNA from 1 species